rnacentral:lncRNA from 1 species
AGAAAAACGGCGAAGCUGCCUGCACACAAACAGUGCCAGAUGUAGGAAGCAAACGAGCUGAGAGAAUGAAACGCUUUUUAUCAUUUCUUUCAGCCACAGUAACCGAGCAGGAAAUCAUGCAGGAAAGCACUGCUGGUGUGCGUGAGCUCCGCUGUGCCCCAUGUGCCGGCCCCAGGCAGCCGAGGUUGGGAUUGCAAGACAGUAAGGGUAACCUGGUUUGCCUGCGGUCCCAAAGGAGAGCGCAGUGCGAUAGCAGGGCAGCGCAUUAUUCCUGUCUGCGUGAUGAUGCCGAAUGAGGGACGUGUGCUGAGGAGGGGGUGGCUUCCUCUACUCCUGCUUCCAUUCAGACUUCUUCUUGAAGGUUCUCCAGAUCUGAG